UACGAAGGGGGCUAGCGUUGCUCGGAAUUACUGGGCGUAAAGGGCGCGUAGGCGGACAUUUAAGUCAGAGGUGAAAGCCCAGGGCUCAACCUUGGAACUGCCUUUGAUACUGGAUGUCUUGAGUUCGGGAGAGGUGAGUGGAAUGCCGAGUGUAGAGGUGAAAUUCGUAGAUAUUCGGCGGAACACCAGUGGCGAAGGCGACUCACUGGCCCGAUACUGACGCUGAGGCACGAAAGCGUGGGGAGCAAACAGG
rnacentral:rRNA from 1 species